GACGAACGCUGGCGGCGUGCUUAACACAUGCAAGUCGAACGGAAAGGCCCUGCUUUUGUGGGGUGCUCGAGUGGCGAACGGGUGAGUAACACGUGAGUAACCUGCCCUUGACUUUGGGAUAACUUCAGGAAACUGGGGCUAAUACCGGAUAGGAGCUCCUGCUGCAUGGUGGGGGUUGGAAAGUUUCGGCGGUUGGGGAUGGACUCGCGGCUUAUCAGCUUGUUGGUGGGGUAGUGGCUUACCAAGGCUUUGACGGGUAGCCGGCCUGAGAGGGUGACCGGCCACAUUGGGACUGCGAUACGGCCCAGACUCCUACGGGAGGCAGCAGUGGGGAAUAUUGCACAACGGGCGGAAGUCUGAUGCAGCAACGCCGCGUGCGUGAUGACGGCUUUCGGGUUGUAAACCGCUUUCGCCUGUGACGAAGCGUGAGUGACGGUAAUGGGUAAAGAAGCACCGGCUAACUACGUG
rnacentral:rRNA from 1 species